rnacentral:rRNA from 1 species
AGAGUUUGAUCCUGGCUCAGAACGAACGCUGGCGGCGUGGAUAAGACAUGCAAGUCGAACGAGAUUUUUUCCUGUAGCAAUACAGGGAAAAGUCUAGUGGCGAACGGGUGCGUAACACGUGGGCAAUCUGCCUUAAAGUGGGGGAUAGCUCGGCGAAAGCCGAAUUAAUACCGCAUGUGAUCAGGGGAGACAUCUUCCCGAAAUCAAAAGUGGCGCAAGCUACUGCUUUUUGAGGAGCCCGCGGCCUAUCAGCUAGUUGGUGAGGUAACGGCUCACCAAGGCUUUGACGGGUAGCUGGUCUGAGAGGACGACCAGUCACACUGGAACUGAGACACGGUCCAGACACCUACGGGUGGCAGCAGUCGAGAAUUUUUCUCAAUGGGGGAAACCCUGAAGGAGCGGCGCCGCGUGGAGGAUGAAGGUCUUCGGGUUGUAAACUCCUGUCAUUUGGGAACAAGUGCCGGUACGUAACUGCUACCGGCUUGAUAGUACCAGAAGAGGAAGAGACGGCUAACUCUGUGCCAGCAGCCGCGGUAAUACAGAGGUCUCAAGCGUUGUUCGGAUUCAUUGGGCGUAAAGGGUGUGUAGGUGGCGCCGUAAGUCGGGUGUGAAAUCUCGGGGCUUAACUCCGAAACUGCAUUCGAUACUGCGGUGCUUGAGGACUGGAGAGGAGACUGGAAUUCAUGGUGUAGCAGUGAAAUGCGUAGAGAUCAUGAGGAAGACCAGUGGCGAAGGCGGGUCUCUGGACAGCUCCUGACACUGAGACACGAAGGCCAGGGGAGCAAACGGGAUUAGAUACCCCGGUAGUCC